CAGUAGCCGCGGUAAUACGUAGGGUGCGAGCGUUAAUCGGAAUUACUGGGCGUAAAGCGUGCGCAGGCGGUUAUGCAAGACAGAUGUGAAAUCCCCGGGCUUAACCUGGGAACUGCAUUUGUGACUGGCGGGCUAGAGUAUGGCAGAGGGGGGUAGAAUUCCACGUGUAGCAGUGAAGUGCGUAGAGAUGUGGAGGAAUACCGAUGGCGAAGGCAGCCCCCUGGGCCAAUACUGGCGCUCAUGCACGAAAGCGCGGGGAGCAAACAGGAUUAGAUACCCCGGUAGUCCCUGUCUCUUAUAC
rnacentral:rRNA from 1 species